ACCACCUUGUGCAGCCGCGCCUGGGGGCUCGGCUGCAGCGGGUGGCCCAUGGGGAGGGGUGCCACUGCCACAGCAUGCACUCCGUCACCCCAGGACAGCCGAGCACACAACCCCGAAGGACACGGCUGGUGGAGGGGUGGGCUCGUGGGCCUGGGGUUCCGGCAGCCCCUCCAGAGGCUCCGCGCGCAGCACCAACGCCUUGAGCCACAAAGGACCCCCGCCGGCUAAGUGCCGGCCUUUCAAUACCUUCUAACUCAAUGAUACCGGAGGGUGAAAUGCAAUCCGACCACCCAGUCAGGUACCAGUGCUCCCUUUUCUGUUAGUAAGAGUGACUUCAGUGGGCCCACGGCACCGGCGGACCGCUUUAUACACACUAAUUUCUUUCCCAACUGUAGGUACAUGGCCAAAAACACUCAAAGGAUCUUGAAAAUAACGGCAAUUUGGGGGCACCUGGCUGGCUAAGUUGAUGGUGCUUGCGACCCCCAAAAUCCCUUCCAGGCCUGAGACAGCGGACAUUAGUCACCGGGGUUCCCAUGAGGAUUAAGCGAGGCCACGAAGGGGUGAGGGCAAAGCAAGCGCCUGCCGGCUCUCCUGGGGGGUGGCCACCAGUGCCUCUGCUUUCUCACUGGUGAGGAAGCAAAGCUCGGCUUAAAAACAAAAGCUCUUGACUGGUUACGUUCUUACCAGAAAAUUCAAGUACAUCCUCCACAGUAAGGGGCACUGGCUGCCGUGCUCACUCCGCAGCGCAUUUUCAAACAGGGCCUGGAUGCGAUGCGCCAGGCCGGUCUCGGGGAUGGUGGCGCGGACCUCUCUGCCGCCUACCCUGCAAGACAAAGCCUCACGUGACUCCGAGGCCAGCUCUCGCACCCACGGCACUACGGGCAGAGGAGGUGCGAUGGUGACAGCGAACGUCGGCACCGGCGGGACCAGGAUGUGUCCGGGAUGGUGCUGUCCCGUGUGUGGGGGCCCUGGGGGUGCAGAGUCAAGACCUGACGUGGCCCCUCCAAGGCCUGAGGAAGGCGGGGUCCAGGGCUAGGUGGGUUUCUACGCCAGAGUCUGCCUCACAGUCACCCACAGACUCCCUGCUCUCUGUUUUCUAAAGAAAGCUUACCCUUUAAUCAGAAUGCAAACCCUCGUUUAUGGGAAGAAAAGUCCUUUCCAUUUUGGGACCCGAGAGUGAAUAAAAUCCCAGUGGAAGAAAUAAAAACAAAGUGAAACACUGCUCAGAAGCGACUCUGAGGAGUCAGCUGACAUGAGGUCAGAGUGAAGCCACAGCAAAGGUCUGGAAGGAACAAUACUGCCUAAGCUAACAUGCUCCCCAGACUCGGCCUAACCUUCGGAUACAAGCACUGGAUCAAGAGAUGACAGUUAAAGCGGACACUACUGUCAUCUGUAAUAACGAGAGAGACUAGUAAUUCUUUCCGCUCCCUCUGUGCUCGGCACUCACCUGGGGGGCCCCUCCGAGCAGCGCUAAGAGGGAGGCUCUUACUCCGUUACCGAAGGGGAGCCCGUGAGAGGUGACGUGACUUGCCCACGGCCACACAGCUGGUAAGUGGAGGAGCGGGACUGAGUCCAGAGUCCUACUUCAGGCUCGGGCGUUUGGCCAACAUGCUUUUACCACAGCUCGGAUGGCUGGAAGCCUGACCGCCAACCACCCACAGGCCAUAAGCAACAUUCAGGAUCCCAACGAGCAUGGCCUCGUGACGGCCACGAAGGCCCCUAACAAGCUGUUGCCAUCUGCAAGCCUCGGAUUCCUCUUUCCACAGGUCAUCCUCCAGCGCCGGCCCAUGCUCCCUUCUGGAGCCCUGCGGCCCGGCAGGGCGGGGGGGCCACACGAACGGGGUGUCUGGACUCACCUCUGAACACUUUCCACCAGCCUCUUCCUCAUCUGCUCAGCCUCAAUCGCAAACAACCAAGGCUCCAAGAGUUUGGUAGACCUGGUAACUGCGUCGAAGAAUCUUCUGGUCUUACUGGCCGUGUGGGACUUACUCUGAACCUGCACGUACGCCCUCCAGAGCACCUGGUUGCCCGGGUACAACUGUAGAGCCUCAGAGAGCGCCUGUCGCAGAGGGGCCAGGGGGUAGGGGCUGACCUUCAUGUGGAAUCUGAGCAGGCUGGCGUGCAUCAGCGUAACGGCCUCCAGCGCGCCGCUUGGGCUCUGGGCGCCGGGCCCGUCCUCCGAGCCACGGCCCCCGGGGGGGACAGAGCCCUUCAGUUUUGCAAAUACCUGCUCGUACACCCGCACGGCUGCAUCGAUCCCCACCGUCAAAUACUGGAAGAGCAUGAAGCAUUUCACCAGGCUGAUCCAACGGGGGGAGGAGUCGCUGGGAGCUGGCCCGGGGACACAGCUGUCACCCAAACAGUCCUGCAGCACGUGCUCGUAAGCCUUGCGAGCCUUCAAGACGUGAACGGCCAGCACCUGCCCGGAGUAGGGCCUGUAGGGCCCCUGGUCGGUCAGCCUGGUCAGGACGUGCACGGCUCGCGCCGCGGCGGCCCCCCUCGACCCGGCCGGCAGCUCGGCCUCCAGCCCGGCGUACAGGAGGCCGAGCUCACACAGCUCGCGGUCCUGCAGGCCGCCGCCCCCCGCCAUGCUGAGCGCCGCAUCGAACACCUUCCUGGCAUCCUCCGUGUUGCCAAGCAACCACUCCAGAUGAGCAUACUGCCUCCAGAGGCAGAAGUUGUUGCGGUUUUCGGGCUCCUUAAGGAGAUUUUUGGCUAGUUUCUUGCAGUUCUUUCCUUGUGACUUUAGCCUCUUCUUGUUUUUAGUGUGCAGACACCAAAUGACCUGUAAGAGCAAAGAAGGACUCCCAAGUGCUCUGUGAUUUUAAAGCAGCCCCUGUGCACUGUCGGGGUCAGAAAGCCACACGCGUGCCCACACUUCCCUCCUUGAUCACGUGCUAGGUAAACUCUCAGGCUCCCUGAGCCCGGAAACAAUUCAGGAUCAGACCAUGGCCUCAGGCGCCCGCCAAUGACUGCGUCCGGGCUUCCAUCUGAGACCUCUAUAACCAAGGCUCCCACACGCCGAAGGGCCUUCUCCAGCGAGAGAAGGCCACCACACUCUGUCAGACACAUACCACCUGGUGGGUGCCGUGGCUCCAGCAGCAGAACUAUGGGGGUUAAGAGUCAGUACUGGCUGGUGGCCAGCAGAGGGCAGAAGAGCCCAUCCUAGACAAAUUUUUAGCAAACAGAUCCGAGGAGUGGGCUUACGUAGUUUAUUUUCUCUAUUUUAAUAAACCCCAAAAUCCUCUAACUUGAGCUUAACUCAAACUUAAGCCUGGCUCUUCACGCUAACUGCUCCUACAAUCCCAGACAUCUAACACACACAGCCCCAAGCACGGGCGAGCCGCACCCCCUUCUCCUGACCACCACAGCCCCUCAGGAGGGGCAGCCACACCCCAGGGGCCUGUGGGUCCCCUGAACAAGGAGGUGGUGUGGCCCCGUGCUCCGAGGAACACCAAGAGCUCAUUUGUGAAGCCCCCACGUGGGGUGGAGGAGGCCGAGUUACCUUCGCGAUCUCGUACCGUAACCAGGAGAAGCAGAGCUCAGACCUCUCCCGGCCUGAAAACAAAGGCAUCACGAGGUGGAAGAUGUUGCGGAUGAACUCCUCGCCCUCCCGGCUGUGACCCCGCGUCCAGCGCCGGCAGCCCAGCGGGUCCGAGCGGCCAACACAGCUGACGCCGGAGAAGGAAAGGUUGAGAAAAGUCAGUGGCAUUUCAUCGUGAAGUCCGUUAUCGAAGAUGCUGUUCUCAUCCAUGGCCAGGUAGAGGCAGGAGGCGGGAGGGCUGAGGCCAGAAGGCACGCCCAGGAACUGCAGAAAGGCCGCAACCAGCCCAAACUGAAGAUCCUGGCUGGAGAGACGGAUUAGGGACUGUGCGAUGUCAUCAAACAGCACCUGCAAGAGACACAAGAUGAAGGGGCGCUCAGGAGCUCGGCGUGUCUACUGUGACAAACGGCAGGGCUUCCUGACUCUCCCUGCACCUCCUUUCACAGGGAUGUGCUGAUGAGUCAGCAUUAUUCAAGUUAAAUUUUAAGUGGACAAGUGUUAGGUUCCCUGCAAGAUGCAAAAAAGUCAGAGGCCUCGCAAGGCUCCGGAGAGCUGCAGGGAACUGCUGGCAGGCUUAAGCCAAAACCUUUCCGAAGAAGCCUGAUGGAGUCACAGAAUGGAGAAUCCUACUCACUUCUGAAAGCGCACAUAACUGCUUCUGUGGUUACUCUGAUAAGUUAACAAGUGUUAAAACUGUUUAUUGAGACAGAAAAUAAGAACUUUAUUAUUUGGUGAUUCCUUUGUACAAAAUUGUUUUUGGAAAUGAGAAAUACGCUCAAAAGUAGAUAGAAAGUAGCAAGGCGGGAAGGAAAGGUCAGCAGCCAUGGACCACGCGCUAAGAGCAAGACGACAGAACGCCAGCUGUAAAUGUCCACAGGUGAUUCCGUGCAGUGACUUGCAAAGGCGAGGCCCCGGAGACCAGCCCUUGACUCAGGGUGCUGCUGACCUGCCUGGUCUCCGUUGCUCUCAGCAAAGGGGUAGCCAGAGCACGAGCACAGAAAAUGGAUGCCCCGGGAGGCUCCUCGUCAGAACCGUCAGUUAAUCAGAAAGCUCUUCCACUCCAGGCUCUGAUUAGAGAAAAAGCUAAACGCCCAGGAACGGCUCACAGCAGCAGAUGGCUCCAGAGACAAACUUCCAAAAACAGCUGGGAUUCUGAGCCUUGAGAACUGGCUUCUGGAAAGGUGACCCUGAACACCCUAAAACCCAAACAAAACACCAAAGACCCUCCUCCUGCCAUGUUCAGUUUCAGCUGGAAAAGGGACCUCACGUGUAGACCCGCCUCUCAACGGGCCACACCAAACAUCCGAGAGCAGAGUGGAGGGUCCCCUGAGGUCGGCCACUCCUCCCUGCUCAGAGCUCCCCGGGUCCCCGGUCCUAAUUGCAGUCUGGCCACCCCAUUCGCCGCACCCCAAACAUUCCAGGCGCUCGUGCUGACCUCUCUGCCUGGAGCAGAAGAUCUGCCUUCAAAUACUCACUCACCAUCCAGAAACUUGAACCAGGCACUCGGCUCAGGAAGACGCCGUCCACGCACGGGUGGCCCAGCCAACAGGCGACCCCCUCCCCCUCGAGGCAGGUGAAUUGUGAGGGUCACAGACAGCAAGCCAGGCGGAAGCUCCCGGGCCUCCCUGCGGCAAACGCCCCCCGCGUGUACCCAGAACCACGCCGGUGCCGAGCAGCUCAGCCGGUGUCUCAUGAAGCUGGGUCCAUCUCAGGUCUCAAAACAGAACCUCUUCCUUGAAUGUUCGCCGUCCGAGCUGCUGGCCACCAGACACAGCGCAGCACAGGCCAAGUGCAGCGGAUGAGAGAACGCGAGUGACGUGCCUGGUGCACAGCUGGGACUCAGUUAAUGCCACUUCCCUCCCGGCAAGCCCUGCGGUACACUGACUGGCCCAACACGGCCUCUCCAUCCGGCUCCUCGUCUUCCAGAGUCAAACCUACCUGCCGCGACUCGGAGGACCCCAGAGUGUUGUGGGGAGAGCGGACACGGUUAACGAACCUAGGACCGCCAUACCACGUCUUAAAGCCCUGAGUCCUCAGGCUUCCGUGUGAAAAGUUAGCUGAAUAACCCGGAAGACACUCUCCGGAGACACCUACCCUCCUUACUUGGGGACAGGAACCACCUGGUCCGUGUCUCCGUGCUCCCGCAUCCCCAGUGGCCAACGAAGCUUCCACAGACAGAAACAGGAGCAAGCCAACAUCUCCCAAGCCAGGCGAGGGCUCAGAAUGAGCUCGGGGCUUCUGUCAGGGCGCCACGGCCGCCAGUGCCUCUGGUCUCGGGACCGCUCGGCGGCAAGCCAGAUCUGCCACCGCGGCAGAGACUUAUCCCUUAUUUCCUGGUCCUCAUCUUCUGGUUCAUCAUCGUCGUCAUCUAGGCAAGAACAGAAUGUUUAGAUCCCGUCACCAGCCAUCGACACCCAACCGCUCUGCUCCACCAGCUGCUGUUGGGGGAGGGGGGGCCUGGAAUGCCAUGAUGAGCAAGACCUGGCCUGCCUUCUGGGACACUCAGGGACUCCGAGGCACCGAGCGACUCUCCUGUCGUCAACCAAGUUCCCCAAAUUCCCUGGCAGGUUAGCCAAGGAAAUCAGAUGACUUUUAAUGCAAACGCAGCAAUUAAAAUGGGAAGACGCAGAUUAGAGAACAGCACUGCCCAACGGAACUUUCUGUGACGAUGACGUCAUGUGCGUGUCUGUGUCUAAUACGGUUGCAACCAGCCAUGUGACUUACUGGGCACCUGAAAUGUAGCUGAUCCCAGAACUAAAUUUUUCAUUUUGUCUCAUUUUAAUUGAAAUGGCCACGGCUGGGUGGCUCAGUUGGUUGUGUCUGGAAGUGUCUCUCGGUUUUGGCUCAUGGCAUGAUCUCGCGGUUCACAGGUUUGAGGCCCGCGCCGGGCUCCACCACCGGCAGCAUGGAACCUGCUUGCGAAUCUCUCGCCCCCUCUGUCUCUGCCCCUCUCCUGCUCGCUCGCUGUCUCUCAGAAUACAUACACUCAAAAUGGCCACGUGUGGCGAGUGCCUACUGUAUUUGGACAACACAGUUCCGGUGUUAAAUGAUAAUGAUCAGACUGGUUCAGAUUUCCUAAAGGCACUAGAAUUUUUAGCCACUGGCAUUAUGAUGACAAUCUGUGACCACUUCUCAAAAAAAGGUUAAAUCAAGAUUA